AUUGAACGCUGGCGGCAGGCCUAACACAUGCAAGUCGAGCGGAUGAAGGGAGCUUGCUCCUGGAUUCAGCGGCGGACGGGUGAGUAAUGCCUAGGAAUCUGCCUGGUAGUGGGGGAUAACGUCCGGAAACGGGCGCUAAUACCGCAUACUUCCUGAGGGAGAAAGUGGGGGAUCUUCGGACCUCACGCUAUCAGAUGAGCCUAGGUCGGAUUAGCUAGUUGGUGGGGUAAAGGCCUACCAAGGCGACGAUCCGUAACUGGUCUGAGAGGAUGAUCAGUCACACUGGAACUGAGACACGGUCCAGACGCCUAAGGGAGGCAGCAGUGGGGAAUAUUGGACAAUGGGCGAAAGCCUGAUCCAGCCAGGCCGCGUGUGUGAAGAAGGUCUUCGGAUUGUAAAGAACUUUAAGUUGGGAGGAAGGGCAGUAAGUUAAUACCUUGCUGUUUUGACGUUACCAACAGAAUAAGCACCGGCUAACUUCGUG
rnacentral:rRNA from 1 species